AUGAACUCAAAAGAAGUGGCACAAAGGCCUCGGAUCAAAGGUGGGGGUCCGAGCUGGUGCACUGCAGCAAGGCGGCGCGAGGAGGGCCAUGGCAGGCACGGUUCUGCCGGACCUGCAGCUGCGGCUGAUGAUGAUGGCAGAGGAGACCUUGGGGUCGGCCCUGGCAUCAAGUUGACCAGGGAGAAGGCGGAGGUUGGCACCUGUGGUCUUUGGACAACACAGAUGACGCCAGAACGAGGCAUGAGGAGGAGCAACAGGGAAGGAGCACAGAGCUUGAGGCGGCAGGAACGGGCGUGCAUGGUCACACCGGCGGCGGCGUUGGAGGAGGUCGGGCGGCGGCUCCUGCUGGCGCACAGGUGGAGAGGUCCUGGCGAGCUUACUGACGAAGCGGCCCUAAAGAGGAAGUAG
rnacentral:rRNA from 1 species